rnacentral:rRNA from 1 species
UACGGAGGGUGCAAGCGUUAUCCGGAUUCACUGGGUUUAAAGGGCGCGUAGGUGGGUUGGUAAGUCAGUGGUGAAAUCUCCGGGCUUAACCUGGAAACUGCCAUUGAUACUAUCAAUCUUGAAUACCUUGGAGGUGAGCGGAAUAUGUCAUGUAGCGGUGAAAUGCUUAGAUAUGACAUAGAAGACCAAUUGCGAAGGCAGCUCACUACACGGUCAUUGACACUGAGGCACGAAAGCGUGGGGAUCAAACAGG